rnacentral:rRNA from 1 species
GGCGUAAAGGGCUCGCAGGCGGUUUCUUAAGUCUGAUGUGAAAGCCCCCGGCUCUACCGGGGAGGGUCAUUGGAAACUGGGGAACUUGAGUGCCCAAGAGGAGAGUGGAAUUCCCCGUGUAGCGGUGAAAUGCGUAGAGAUGUGGAGGAACACCAGUGGCGAAGGCGACUCUCUGGUCUGAUACUGACACUGAGGAGCGAAAGCGUGGGGAGCGAACAGGAUUAGAUACCCUGGUAGUCCACGCCGUAAACGAUGUCUGCUAGGCGUUGGAAUCCUUCCCCUUUUAGUGGCGCAACUAACGCAUUAAGUUCACCGCCUGGGGAGUACCGCCGCCACGAUACAACUCCUAAGAAUUGACCGGGGCCCCCACAAGCGGUGGAGCAUGUGG